AUGAAGCGCACACGUGAGGCGUUCGACGUGAGGAAGGAGGUCUUCGCCGUCGGCAAGAUGUGCGGCGAGGAACGGAAUUUGCUGCGCAAGCGAUUCCGGGCGGAGCUCGUUGCUGUCCGUGGCCUGCUCGAGAAGGCGGAUCGGCUCUUGGCCCCCGGAACCGCCGAGGGCUGCCGCGGUGGUGCGGCGCCUUCUUCCUCGUCCGGCCUGGCGGCUCUGCCCGGCAAGGAAGUAGGGCGACCCAUGUUGGGCACCGAACCACGAUCCGGCGGGUUGGUGAAGGCUGACGACGGCAAGAGGAGGGUGAAAACUCCUCUGGCGGAGCACAAAGAGGCGCCGAAGAUGACCCCGGCCGACCGGCAACAUCUUGCGUUCAGCCUGGUGGCGCUAGCGGCAGAACUGUCAGACCACGCCGUCGAGCUCCUGCCGAAGCAGAGCCAUGGCGGCCGACGGGUGAUCGAGGCAAACGUGAACGCCAUGGAAGACGCGGCCCUAUUCGAGCUAAAGAUGCACGUGGACAAGCUCAUCAAAACGAGGGAUCCGUCCCUGCCGCCGCAAGAUGACAGCAAGAUUGUUGGGGAAGAAGCCGACGAAAAUGGCAGGCGCGUCGAUAUCUGCCCCGGUGUGUCUCCCGUGGUGACCGCCCCGUCGCCACUCCUACUUGAAAUUCUUGAAUACGCGGCCGUCUUCAAUGCAACCGGACUAGUCGACAAGAUGCUGUCACCGCUGCCGCAGAAAUACCUGGCGCUCGCUGAAAAGGGGGAGAAGGAGUGCGUCGCCGAAAAGGAGGACGAUGAGGAGUACGUCGACAUCUGCGGCGACGCCUCGCCGGUGGUGUUCCAGAAUCUUGCUGGUGCAAUCAGCCACAACCCAAGCAUUAUCUUAAGCAGCGAUUCUGAUUCUGACUCUGACCCAGACAUCGGCUCCGACAGUGAUUCCAGUGACUCUGGUUCGGUCUCCGACAGCCACUGCGAUGAGAAGGGCGGCACUCUAGCUCCGCCAGUUCUUCCUAAGGUUAGCAGCAGCCUAGCUCCAUCAGUUCUUUCCAAAGUGAUUGGCGAUUCUGCACCACCAACGGAGCCAACACUGGAGGUGGUACAGAAUGGAGAACUAAAGAAGCUUGACAGUCCAGCUCCAGCAAUUCUUCCCAAGGUGAAUGGUGAUUCUGCUGUCGGGCCAUCGGAGCUACAGAAUGCAGAAACAGAGAACGAUAGUAGUGUAGCUCCAUCAGUUCUUUACAAAAUGGUUGGCGAUUCUGCACCUCCAUCGGUGCCAGCAAUAGAGGUGGUACUGCAGAAUGGAGAACUUAGCAGUCCAGCUCCGGCAGUUCGUCCCAAGGUGCAUGGUGGAUCCGAUGGCCAGGCAACGGUGGUACAGAAUGCAGAACCAGAGAAGGUUAGCAGUCCGUCUCCAGCAGUCCUUUACAAAGUGGUUGAUGGUUCUGCACUGUCACUUGAGGUGGUACAGAAUGGUUUUGAAACAGAGAAGCUUGGCUGCCCAGCACCAUCAGUUCGACUUCUUUCUAAGGUGAAUGAUGGUUCUUCCCUGCUAUCAUCGAAGCCUGCACCGGAGCUGGUGCAGAAUGCAGAACCAGAAAAUGUCUCAGACAAGCCUGCAACUGCGACGGCGCCUCCGGUGAGGCCAAUGAGCGAGCUGAUCGCCAUGGCGCUAGAAAAGCGGCGGCGGGAGGAGAGGUCCCAGGCGAGGGAGAAAGCCCGUCAGGGGCUGGUGGACAUGGAGAGGUCGGCCAUGACCAGCCACAGGGUACACCCAGUGGACAUGGAGCAGCUUGGCAUCGUUCACGUGGAGCACAUGGUGAGCCAAGGAAGACGGCCUGGUGUUCCUCCCAGUCUGUUGCAGCAGCUUGGUCUCUUCCUGAGGGCUGAUGAAGACGACGGUGGAGAGCAGCAGCAGCAGCAGCAGCAGCAACAACCAAUCUCCGAUUCCGGCGUUGAAGACCUGGAGGAAGGGGAGAUUCUGUUCUAG
rnacentral:rRNA from 1 species